rnacentral:rRNA from 1 species
ACGCACGCUGGCGGCGUGCUUCACACAUGCAAGUCGCACGGUGAAGCGCCUUCCUUUUUGGUGGGUGUGGAUGAGUGGCGAACGGGUGAGUAACACGUGAGUAACCUGCCCCCUUCUUCUGGAUAACCGCAUGAAAGUGUGGCUAAUACGGGAUAUUCUGGGUCUGUCGCAUGAUGGGUCUGGGGAAGAUGUUGUUUCGGUGGGGGAUGGGCUUGCGGCCUAUCAGCUUGUUGGUGGGGUGAUGGCCUACCAAGGCGGUGACGGGUAGCCGGCCUGAGAGGGUGGACGGUCACACUGGGACUGAGACACGGCCCAGACUCCUACGGGAGGCAGCAGUGGGGAAUAUUGCACAAUGGGCGCAAGCCUGAUGCAGCGACGCCGCGGGAGGGAUGGAGGCCUUCGGGUUGCGAACCUCUUUCGCCAGUGAAGCAGGCCUGCCUCGUUUGUGGGUGGGUUGACGGUAGCUGGAUAAGAAGCGCCGGCUAACUACGUG